AUGCUCCUGACUUUUACCCUCUUGAGGUUUUCAUUCUUCAUGACCAAACGUCUGCUUGCUUCAAUAAUAUUCCAAUUUGCCAAUAAUUCGAGUAUUAAUUCAUAUAACCUGCAUCACAAAACAAAAGAAAUAGCCCGCAACAUGAACCGGUUCAAAAUCCUCACUUUGCAACUUCAAUCCAUGAUCUAA